rnacentral:rRNA from 1 species
GAUUAAUUGAAAAGGGCUUUUGGUGGAUGCCUUGGUAUCAAGAGGCGAUGAAGGAGGCGGAAGACUGCCAUAAGCUUCGGGGAGCUGUCAAUCAAGCUUUGAUCCGAAGAUUUCCGAAUGGGGCAACCCGGCUUGGCAAAACCAAGUCAUUCUUAUUUGAAUACAUAGAAUAAGAAAGCGAACGACGUGAACUGAAACAUCUAAGUAGCGUCAGGAAAAGAAAACAAAGUGAUUCCCUCAGUAGUGGUGAGCGAAAGGGGAUAAGUCUAAACCUUUAUUACGUGAUAGCCUGUGUGCGUUGUAAUAAUGGGGUUGUGGGGUAUGAACGAUCAAGAUAUACAGAUCUUGGAUUGUGUUAGAUUAACGUAGUCGAAUGUUCUGGAAAGGGCAGCCAAAGAAAGUGACAGCCUUGUACGCAAAACGUUAAAAUAAGCAAUAGUUCGUAAACCCGAGUACCAUGGAGCACGUGUAAUUCCGUGGGAAUCUGUCCGGACCAUCGGAUAAGACUAAAUACUACUUGAUGACCGAUAGUGAACUAGUACCGUGAGGGAAAGGUGAAAAGAACCCCGGAAGGGGAGUGAAAUAGAACAUGAAACCAAUUGUCUACAAUCGGAGGAAGCGAUAUAUACGUAUGCGCGACCUCGUACCUUUUGCAUAAUGAGCCAACGAGUUAUCAUGCGCUGCAAGGUUAAGUUUUGAAAGAACGGAGCCGUAGGGAAACCGAGUCUGAAUAGGGCGAAUAGUAGCGUAGGAUAGACCCGAAACCUAGUGAGCUAUCCAUGUCCAGGGUGAAAUCUCAGUUACAUGAGAUGGAGGCCCGAACCGGUGUGAGUUGAAAAUCGCUCGGAUGAGGUGUGGAUAGGAGUGAAAGGCUAAUCAAACUGGGAAAUAGCUGGUUCUCCCCGAAAUAUAUUUAGGUAUAGCCUUGGUGUGUACGUUAUGGUGGUAAAGCACAGUUUGAAUUGUGGGGGCGUAAGUCUACCGGAUUCUUACUAACUCUGAAUGCUAUAACGGUUUAAGCCAGGAGACAGUCCAUGUGAGAUAAGUUGUGUGGACGAAAGGGAAAGAGCCCAGAUCAUCAGCUAAGGUCCCUAAAUACUCGUUAAGUGGUAAAAGAAGUGAAAACGCAAUGACAGCCAGGAUGUUGGCUUAGAAGCAGCCAUCAUUUAAAGAAAGCGUAACAGCUCACUGGUCAAGUAUUUUUGCGCUGAAAAACGAACGGGGCUUAAACGAGUUACCGAAGCUAUGGAUUGUAAUAGGGUUCUACCUUGUUAUAGUGGUAGGGGAGCGUUCCUUGAUAGAUACAAGCUUGACCGUAAGGACAGGUGUCGUUGAUCAAGGAAGUGAGCAUGUUGGUAUAAGUAACGAAAAAAUAGGUGAAAUUCCUGUUCGCCGUAAGUCUAAGGGUUCCGUGAGAUCGGUUCAUCCACUCAGGGUUAGUCGACUCCUAAGCCGAGGCCAUUUGGAGUAGGCGAUGGGAAACAGGUUAAAUAUUCCUGUACCAUUUGAUAGCGUUUGAGUGAAGGAGUGACGCAGUAAGGCAGGUUUACUUGAUGUUUGGAUGUCAAGCUAAGCAUUUAGAGGGGUCUCAUUGGCAAAUCCGUGAGACCGUUAUCCUUGAGGUGUAAUGGGUACGCUAAUUUUUAGGAAGAAGCGUAUUAGACUGAUCCUACACUGACUAGAAAAGCUUCUAGCGAGCUAUUUAAAUGAUCGUACCGCAAACCGACACAGGUAGACGGGCAGAGAAUGCUCAGGCGUUGAGAUAACUAUCAUUAAGGAACUCGGCAAAAUUGCCCCGUAACUUCGGGAGAAGGGGUGCCUACAGUGUGAUUAAAGUUUACUUUAAGGAGCAUUGUUAGGUUUCAAUAAAUAGGCCCAACCGACUGUUUAACAAAAACACAGGGCUGUGCGAACUCGUAAGAGGAAGUAUACAGUCUGACGCCUGCCCAGUGCUGGAAGGUUAAUAAGAGAGGUCAGCCGUAAGGUGAAGCUUUGAAUUGAAGCCCCAGUAAACGGCGGCCGUAACUAUAACGGUCCUAAGGUAGCGAAGUACCUUGUCGGGUAAGUUCCGACGCGCAUGAAUGGCGUAACGAGUUGGGCGCUGUCUUGAUGAUAGACUCAGUGAAUUUGUAGUACCAGUGAAAAUGCUGGUUACCCGCGACAGGACGGAAAGACCCCGUGCACCUUUACUAUAACUUGACAUUGAUUUUUGGAUUAACUUGUGUAGGAUAGGCGGGAGACUUUGAAGUCGAGACGCUAGUUUCGAUGGAGUCAUCCUUGAAAUACCGCCCCUGUUGAUUUGAAGAUCUAACUUUGUCCCGUAAUCCGGGCAGAGAACAGUGUCUGGUGGGUAGUUUGACUGGGGUGGUCGCCUCCUAAAAAGUAACGGAGGCGUUCAAAGGUUCCCUCAUGACGAAUAGAAAUCGUCUGUAGAGUGUAAAGGCAUAAGGGAGCUUAACUGUAAGACAUACAGGUCGAGCAGAUGCGAAAGCAGGACUUAGUGAUCCAGUGGUUCUGAAUGGAAGGGCCAUUGCUAAACGGAUAAAAGGUACGCCGGGGAUAACAGGCUGAUCUCCUCCAAGAGUCCAUAUCGACGAGGAGGUUUGGCACCUCGAUGUCGACUCAUCGCAUCCUGGGGCUGAAGAAGGUCCCAAGGGUUUGGCUGUUCGCCAAUUAAAGCGGUACGUGAGUUGGGUUCAGAACGUCGUAAGACAGUUCGGUCCUUAUCCGUCGUGGGCGUAAGGUAUUUGAGAAGGGCUGUCCCUAGUACGAGAGGACCGGGAUGGGUUUGCCUCUGGUGUUCCAGUUGUCCUCCAAGGGCAACGCUGGGUAGCUAAGCAGAUUAGAGAUAACCGCUGAAAGCAUCUAAGUGGGAAACUCGCUUCAAGAUAAGAUACCUCUUUAUAAGACCCCUUGAAGACUACAAGGUUGAUAGGCUGGGUGUGUAAGUACCGUAAGGUAUUCAGCUAACCAGUACUAAUCGGUCGAAAGUUUUAGUCAC